GCGGAGGGAUCAUUACCGAGUUUACAAACUCCCAACCCUAUGUGAACCUUACCAAUCGUUGCUUCGGCGGGCUUAGCCCCCGCGCCCUCGCCGGCGCCGGGAGAAAGGCGCCCGCCGGGGACCCAAAACCCAAUGUUUUUCAUGCAGUAUUUCUGAGUGGCAAACGCAAAAAUAAAUCAAAACUUUUAACAACGGAUCUCUUGGCUCUGGCAUCGAUGAAGAACGCAGCGAAAUGCGAUAAGUAAUGUGAAUUGCAGAAUUCAGUGAAUCAUCGAAUCUUUGAACGCACAUUGCGCCCGCGAGUAUUCUCGCGGGCAUGCCUGUCCGAGCGUCAUUUCAACCCUCAGGGCCCGCCUGCUUGCAGGCGCGGCGCUGGCGUUGGGGAUCGGCCCUCACCGGUCGUCCCCCAAAUACAGUGGCGGUCUCGCUGCAGCCUCCCCUGCGUAGUAGCAACACUCGCACGCGGAGCGCGGCGCGGCCACGCCGUAAAACCCCCGACUUUCUGAACGUUGACCUCGGAUCAGGUAGGAAUACCCGCUGAACUUAAGCAUAUCAAUAAGCGGAGGAAAAGAAACCAACAGGGAUUGCCUUAGUAACGGCGAGUGAAGCGGCAACAGCUCAAAUUUGAAAUCUGGACCUAGUCCCGAGUUGUAAUUUGCAGAGGAUGAUUUUGGCGCGUGCCUUCCAAGUUCCCUGGGACGGGACGCCGGAAGGGUGAGAGCCCCGUCAGGUUGGACACCAAGCCUAUGUAAAUCUCCCUUCGACGAGUCGAGUAGUUUGGGAAUGGCUGCUCUAAAUGGGAGGUAUAUGGUCUUCUAAAGCUAAAUACCGGCCAGAGACCGAUAGCGCACAAGUAGAGUGAUCGAAAGAUGAAAAGCACUUUGGAAAGAGAGUUAAACAGCACGUGAAAUUGUUAAAAGGGAAGCGUUUACGACCAGACUUGUGCCGGUUGAUCAUCCAGCGUUCUCGCUGGUGCACUCUGCCGGCCCAGGCCAGCAUCAGUUCGCCGCGGGGGAUAAAGGCGUCGGGAAUGUGGCUCCCCCGGGAGUGUUAUAGCCCUUCGCGCAAUACCCUGAGGCGGACUGAGGUUCGCGCAUCGCAAGGAUGC
rnacentral:rRNA from 1 species